UUCUAGUGGCGGACGGGUGAGUAACGCGUGGGUAACCUGCCUUAUACAGGGGGAUAACAGUCAGAAAUGGCUGCUAAUACCGCAUAAGCGCACAGAGCUGCAUGGCUCAGUGUGAAAAACUCCGGUGGUAUAAGAUGGACCCGCGUUGGAUUAGCUAGUUGGUGGGGUAACGGCCCACCAAGGCGACGAUCCAUAGCCGGCCUGAGAGGGUGAACGGCCACAUUGGGACUGAGACACGGCCCAGACUCCUACGGGAGGCAGCAGUGGGGAAUAUUGCACAAUGGGGGAAACCCUGAUGCAGCGACGCCGCGUGAAGGAAGAAGUAUCUCGGUAUGUAAACUUCUAUCAGCAGGGAAGAUAGUGACGGUACCUGACUAAGAAGCCCCGGCUAACUACGUGCCAGCAGCCGCGGUAAUACGUAGGGGGCAAGCGUUAUCCGGAUUUACUGGGUGUAAAGGGAGCGUAGACGGUGUGGCAAGUCUGAUGUGAAAGGCAUGGGCUCAACCUGUGGACUGCAUUGGAAACUGUCAUACUUGAGUGCCGGAGGGGUAAGCGGAAUUCCUAGUGUAGCGGUGAAAUGCGUAGAUAUUAGGAGGAACACCAGUGGCGAAGGCGGCUUACUGGACGGUAACUGACGUUGAGGCUCGAAAGCGUGGGGAG
rnacentral:rRNA from 1 species